rnacentral:rRNA from 1 species
UACGGAGGGUGCCAGCGUUGUUCGGAAUCAUUGGGCGUAAAGGGCGCGUAGGCGGCCGAGCAAGUCGGAUGUGAAAUACCCCGGCUCAACUGGGGAACUGCAUCCGAAACUGCUUGGCUUGAGUCCUGGAGAGGGUAGUGGAAUUCCCAGUGUAGCGGUGAAAUGCGUAGAUACUGGGAGGAACACCGGUGGCGAAGGCGGCUACCUGGACAGGUACUGACGCUGAGGCGCGAAAGCUAGGGGAGCAAACAGG